rnacentral:rRNA from 1 species
AGAUUGAACGCUGGCGGCAUGCCUAACACAUGCAAGUCGAACGGGAGUAGCAAUACUCUAGUGGCGGACGGGUGAGGAAUACGUAGGAAUUUUGCCCUUAAGUGGGGGAUAACCCGGGGAAACUCGGAUUAAUACCGCAUGACCUCGAAAGAGCAAAGGUGGGGGAUCGCAAGACCUCACGCUUUUGGAGAAGCCUACGUCGGAUUAGCUAGUUGGUGAGGUAAUGGCUCGACCGAAGGCGACGAGUCCGUAACUGGUCUAGAGAGGUAUGGAUCGAGUCACGACCGGAACUGACGACGACCGGUCCGGACUCCGUAGGGA